UUUGGGGAAAACCCCGAGCAAUCUCCACCUGAGAACACGUUGUGCUACGAUUUAUGAAAAAUAUCUUCUCCUUUCGCCGCAGGUACCCACCGUGUACCAUGUUCAAGAGCCCAGUGCCUUUCUCUUUCUUGCUAAUCCACCUCGUUGUCUCUCGUUUUGUUCCUCCUCCUUUCUCCCUGCCCUGGUUGGGCACCGUGACAAGCAAAGGAAUUUGGUUGAGAUUCCAACAUACAUGUCCACGGUUAGUCCUCCUGCUUUCUGGAUCUAACGUUUAUUUCCUCUUCGCUGCCUCCAAUCGAAUAGCCUCAAGGACGCACCGCCGGUCAAAUCUGUCUCUUUUAUUCUCUUUUCAUUUUAUCUGUUUUAUUUACCUGGUUUCUAAGAUCAUGCAGGGAAAAAUUAUCUCGCAUCCUAAUUUCUUAGAUUAAAUCUCUACUAUGUCAUAUCCUUGGUUUAUAGCUUUGGUAACUUAGUACAAGAAGAUAGUAUGGAGUAUCCUUUAAUCAGAAUAGUACACCUACAACUGUUGUUGAUACUGAAUCCACGUGUUUUGUGCUAUACCAACCUUUGAUACCUUAAGAAAAAAAUUCACCUUUUCCUUCUCUAACAACUUUGUCUUCUCCAGCCAUGGAGACAGCUGAGCUAUCACCGGUUGUCAUCUUACAUGAGGUACUCCAGCAUUUAGGCUUAGCGCAAGCAAUAUACGCUCAUGCAAUGCUAGCAGAUACCCACCACCAAGCAUCUGUGCAUCUCUCUUUACCUGCCGAAGUAACCCAAGAUCAAAACACCAUAUAUUGUGUCAUGGGGAACCUUAGCGACACUCUACCAGGUGCAGAAAAAGAUGAUGCAUACCGUGCUCUUCUUUUCUUGCAGUAGACAGCGAAGCUUCAAGUUCAUGACCACAGCUAUAUCUUAAUUACCAAGAUCAAGGAAAUCAACAAACGGAUUUUGGCUCGACGGCUUACCAUGAGCCUACGGGGCCUUACUCAGCUGAAAUCCACACUAUGGUUUCUCAUAUUAAAGAGCUAGCACGCUCUGUGCAAAAUUCAUUUCACGCCUCACUUACGAAGGUCAAGCAGUGUGAGCAAGAAUACUCCAAUCUCUAUAGAUGUUUACCUUCAAACGAUAACUCUGUUGGUUCACAAAAGCCAGGUUAGUGAGAUGAUGACGGCAAGAUGAAUAUGCCAGCUGCAUCGAAUUUUAUCCCGAUAUAAAUUUAUUCAUUCGGGAUUUGCUCUCCAAGCGACUACAUAUAUGGAAUCAGAGACGCAUAUACAGCACCGAGAUUUCAACUACGCUGAGAAGGAAAAUGCAUUAGAUGAGCAUAGGUCUUUGUUAAAGAAGACAAAGGAGCAGGUGAGCGCAAUGAAAAUGAUCUCUAAAGAUACGAACACUGCUAUGAAUGAAUUUGCAGCAGCUUGAGAGAGAGCGCCAGGAAAGGAAAGCAGUGGGCAUCACCAACCAGAGCCUCCCUGGAUCGUUGAAAGCGCAGCAAAGUCACUACAUUCUAGUUUUGGAGAGCCUGAUACAAGUACUUCACAUAUCCACCCGUACCAAAUUUGUUAGGCAGAUUAGUAGUAAAGCUGUAGAAAUAUAGAAACCUGUUGCAAAUUUUACUGAAAACGAUCGUAUGGGUGAUGGGUCUCUGCAAAGUAAACCACCGGCCACGAAUGGUCGGUCUCUUGCCCUGUAUCAGAACUCAUAUGAAGGGUAAACUACUGCUAAACCUGUACUUGGCCAUUAUAUUGCAUGCUCCAUUGGUAAACUAAUCCCAGGGCAAUGGGCUAACCGUACAAAGGCCUACUGAGCAAAAUUAUGUUGUGCUUGACAA